rnacentral:piRNA from 1 species
UACUCACACAGAAGGCUUUACCAAUGG